rnacentral:rRNA from 1 species
AGUGAACGCUGGCGGUAGGCCUAACACAUGCAAGUCGAACGGCAGCACAGUAAGAGCUUGCUCUUACGGGUGGCGAGUGGCGGACGGGUGAGGAAUACAUCGGAAUCUACUUUUUCGUGGGGGAUAACGUAGGGAAACUUACGCUAAUACCGCAUACGACCUACGGGUGAAAGCAGGGGAGCUUCGGACCUUGCGCGAUUGAAUGAGCCGAUGUCGGAUUAGCUAGUUGGCGGGGUAAAGGCCCACCAAGGCGACGAUCCGUAGCUGAUCUGAGAGGAUGAUCAGCCACACUGGAACUGAGACACGGUCCAGACUCCUACGGGAGGCAGCAGUGGGGAAUAUUGGACAAUGGGCGCAAGCCUGAUCCAGCCAUACCGCGUGGGUGAAGAAGGCCUUCGGGUUGUAAAGCCCUUUUGUUGGGAAAGAAAAGCAGCAGGUUAAUACCCCGCUGUUCUGACGGUACCCAAAGAAUAAGCACCGGCUAACUUCGUG